rnacentral:rRNA from 1 species
UUGGCGGACGGGUGAGAAACGCGUGGGUAAUCUACCCUUGGAUUUGGGAUAACUCUGCGAAAGUGGAGCUAAUACCGGAUAGUCUGGCUUUAAAUAAGAAGUCGGUAAAGGAUGCCUCUGCAUAUGCAUUCGUCCGAGGAUGAGCCCGCGUCUCAUUAGCUAGUUGGUAGGGUAAUGGCCUACCAAGGCAACGAUGAGUAGCUGGUCUGAGAGGAUGAUCAGCCACACUGGAACUGAAACACGGUCCAGACUCCUACGGGAGGCAGCAGUGGGGAAUAUUGGGCAAUGGGGGCAACCCUGACCCAGCGACGCCGCGUGGGUGAAGAAAUCCUUCGGGAUGUAAAGCCCUGUUGUAUGGGAAGAGUAGAAGACGGUACCAUACGAGGAAGCCCCGGCAAACUCCGUGCCAGCAGCCGCGGUAAU